rnacentral:rRNA from 1 species
GGUUACUGCUAUCGGUGUUCGCCUAAGCCAUGCGAGUCAUAUGUUCGUAAGAACAUGGCGUACUGCUCAGUAACACGUGGAUAACCUGCCCUUGGGUCCGGCAUAACCCCGGGAAACUGGGGAUAAUUCCGGAUAACGCACAUAUGCUGGAAUGCUUUAUGCGUAAAAUGGAUUCGUCUGCCCAAGGAUGGGUCUGCGGCCUAUCAGGUAGUAGUGGGUGUAAUGUACCUACUAGCCUACGACGGGUACGGGUUGUGAGAGCAAGAGCCCGGAGAUGGAUUCUGAGACAUGAAUCCAGGCCCUACGGGGCGCAGCAGGCGCGAAAACUUUACAAUGCGGGAAACCGUGAUAAGGGGACACCGAGUGCCAGCAUCCUAUGCUGGCUGUCCGGGUGUGUAAAAUACACCUGUUAGCAAGGGCCGGGCAAGACCGGUGCCAGCCGCCGCGGUAACACCGGCGGCCCGAGUGGUGAUCGUGAUUAUUGGGUCUAAAGGGUCCGUAGCCGGUUUGGUCAGUCCUCCGGGAAAUCUGACAGCUUAACUGUUAGGCUUUCGGAGGAUACUGCCAGACUUGGAACCGGGAGAGGUAAGAGGUACUACAGGGGUAGGAGUGAAAUCUUGUAAUCCCUGUGGGACCACCUGUGGCGAAGGCGUCUUACCAGAACGGGUUCGACGGUGAGGGACGAAAGCUGGGGGCACGAACCGGAUUAGAUACCCGGGUAGUCCCAGCCGUAAACGAUGCUCGCUAGGUGUCAGGCAUG